GAUGUCGGACAUCCCAGCCAGGAAAAUUCAGCGAUUGGAGUUUCUUAACAGCUGAAACAAAUUAUGUAUUAAACCUGUUGUUUUUUUAGAUAAGAAAUCGUGCAAAUGUGAAGAGAGUAUUGAGCUCCUUGAGAAGAUUAUUUCGGAUCUCACCGAACAAUCGAAACAAAAGAUUCUCUCGAAAAAGUUGUGGAUGAAGUAAGGACCUUAAAAGGGUCAAUCGCCACUGCCUCGAUUACCCACGAACUAGUGAAAUAGUGCAACAUAUUAGGGUCUUUAAGGAAAGUACUUACAUUGGACCCCAUGGAACGGCUGGUAAACUUUUCCUGGGCGCAUCAUCUGUUUUGGCACCACAACCAGAUGAUCUGGUGUUGACAGUCUUUUGACUCGCUAG